rnacentral:rRNA from 1 species
UACGGAUGGUGCAAGCGUUAUCCGGAUUCACUGGGUUUAAAGGGUGCGUAGGAGGAAAGGUAAGUCAGGGGUGAAAUCUCCAAGCUUAACUUGGAAACUGCCGUUGAUACUAUCUUUCUUGAAUACCGUGGAGGUGAGCGGAAUAUGUCAUGUAGCGGUGAAAUGCUUAGAUAUGACAUAGAACACCAAUUGCGAAGGCAGCUCGCUACACGAAUAUUGACUCUGAGGCACGAAAGCGUGGGGAUCAAACAGG